UUCAAUUCUGGCUCAGAACGAACGCUGGCGGCGCGUUUAAGCAUGCAAGUCGAGCGGCAAGGGCCUUCGGGCCCCUAGAGCGGCGGACGGGUGAGUAACACGUGGACAAUCUGCCCCCCGGCCCGGGAUAGCCCAGGGAAACCUGGAUUAAUACCGGAUGAGACGGGACCCGCGAUGGCGGGACCCGGGAAAGGCGCUGCGGCGCCGCCGGGGGAUGAGUCUGCGUCCCAUUAGCUAGACGGCGGGGUAACGGCCCACCGUGGCGACGAUGGGUAGCCGGCCUGAGAGGGUGGACGGCCACAUUGGAACUGAGACACGGUCCAGACUCCUACGGGAGGCAGCAGCUAAGAAUCUUCCGCAAUGGGCGAAAGCCUGACGGAGCGACGCUGCGUGAACGAAGAAGGCCGUGAGGUUGUAAAGUUCUUUUCGGGAGGGGGAACAACCGUGGCAGGGAAUGGCCGCGGGAUGACGUGAAUCCCGGAAUAAGCCCCGGCUAACUACGUGCCAGCAGCAGC
rnacentral:rRNA from 1 species